rnacentral:rRNA from 1 species
UGGGGAAUCUUGCACAAUGGGGGCAACCCUGAUGCAGCGACGCCGCGUGAGCGAUGAAGCCCUUCGGGGCGUAAAGCUCUUUCGACCGGAACGAUAAUGACGGUACCGGGAGAAGAAGCUGCGGCUAACUACGUGCCAGCAGCCGCGGUAAUACGUAGGCAGCAAGCGUUGUUCGGAGUUACUGGGCGUAAAGAGUGCGUAGGCGGUUUUCUAAGUUCGGUGUGGAAUCUCCCGGCUUAACUGGGAGGGUGCGCCGAAGACUGGGAAGCUGGAGUGUGGGAAAGGCAGGCGGAAUUCCUGGUGUAGCGGUGAAAUGCGUAGAUAUCAGGAGGAACACCUGAGGCGAAGGCGGGUUGCUGGGCCGACACUGACGCUGAUGCGCGAAAGCCAGGGGAGCAAACG